rnacentral:rRNA from 1 species
GAUGAACGCUAGCGGGAGGCCUAACACAUGCAAGCCGAGCGGUAGAGUCUCUUCGGAGACUUGAGAGCGGCGCAUGGGUGCGGAACACGUGUGCAACCUGCCUUUAUCUGGGGGAUAGCCUUUCGAAGGGAAGAUUAAUACCCCAUAAUAUACUGGAUGGCAUCAUCUGGUAUUGAAAACUCCGGUGGAUAGAGAUGGGCACGCGCAAGAUUAGAUAGUUGGUGAGGUAACGGCUCACCAAGUCAGCGAUCUUUAGGGGGCCUGAGAGGGUGAUCCCCCACACUGGUACUGAGACACGGACCAGACUCCUACGGGAGGCAGCAGUGAGGAAUAUUGGACAAUGGGUGAGAGCCUGAUCCAGCCAUCCCGCGUGAAGGACGACGGCCCUAUGGGUUGUAAACUUCUUUUGUAUAGGGAUAAACCUAGAUACGUGUAUCUAGCUGAAGGUACUAUACGAAUAAGCACCGGCUAACUCCGUG